UUUAUCUAGUUUAUUUAUAGGAGUACUUUAUCCCUCUCGUCGCUACAAUUAUUGCCAAUUCAAACGAACAGUAUUCGCAAAAUUUCAGUAAAUGAUGGUUGCGAAAGUGGAAGAUAGUGAACGUUUUCCUUUAUCCCUGUGACUUUUUUACGUGUUGUACUUGACAAAGUGAUUUUGGCAGCUUUAAAAUGCAGUUAAUACUAACGUUAUUUUAUAUUACGUAUUCAUUGGCUUAUGAACCACCAGCACCUGUAGUUCACACUUCCCUUGGAAACAUUCGAGGAUACCACACAUUUUCGCUUGAGGGUCGCAGAUUUUCGGCAUUUGAAGGUAUUCCUUAUGCACAGCCGCCUAUAGGACAUCUCCGAUUUGAGGCACCUAGAAGCGCACUACCCUGGAAUAGAACUUUGGAAGCUCACAAUUUAUUCGUAUGCUCGCAAUUCCAAAAUAUGGCUUUCGAGGCCGUAGAUGCAGAGAAUGUUUUUGAUCGUAAAAAAGAUCAAGAAGAUUGCUUAUACCUCAAUGUAUACGUGCCCAAAGAGCAACCAUCUGAGAACGACAACUAUGAUGUUGUUGUUAACAUACAUGGAGGUGCGUUUAUGAACGGUGAUCCAAACUUGGUCACGCCUGGUAUUAUAAUGGAUCGCGACUUUAUCUACAUUAACUUGAACUACAGGCUUGGUAUUUUGGGAUUCUUAAGUACUGAAGAUACUGUCGUACCAGGAAACAAUGGGCUUAAAGAUCAACAGCUCGCACUUCGAUGGGUUCACACCCAUAUUAAACACUUCGGGGGCAAUCCGAAUGCGAUUACACUUAUGGGUGGGUCGGCAGGUGGCGCUUCUGUUCAUUUUCAUUAUUUUUCUCCCAAAUCUAGAGGUUUAUUCCACAGGGGUAUAUCACAAAGUGGCAGCGUACUACUUCCCUGGGCAAUUCAAGUGGGUGCUUUAAAGAAAGCACAAAAACUGGCUGGUUUAUUAAACUGCAAAAAUUCAAAUACACGAGAUAUGGUUUAUUGUUUGAAGCAAAUCCCCGUUCACGAGCUUAUUUCAAAACUCUCACAUUUUUAUCAUUCCACUAUGUAUCCUUUAGCUCCGUUUGCACCGGUAGUUGAGGUCGAGUCGGACUCUUCCUUUAUAACGAAGCAUCCAUAUCAACAGCUGCUAAACGGAGACGUAUAUGAUGUUCCGUGGUUAACGUGGAGAGCGGCCGAUGAAGGAAUCUUUCUUGGUGUCCUAAUACCUCCUGGUCCCCAUGACGAAAUUGAAAAGAAUUGGGAUGAAUGGUCACCGUUCAUGUUCAACUACGAUUACACUGUUGCUGAAAGCCAGAAAAAAGCGGUCGCUCGUAAAAUUAAAUCGUUUUACAUGAAAAAUGAGAAACUCUCUCAUAAUAACAUCAGAAAAUUCAUUAAACUUAUGGGUGAUCGAUAUUUUAAUGUGGGAUAUGAACGAGCAAUAACCAUGCAGGCGAACCUUGGAAAAUCGCCAGUAUAUGCUGGUAUAUACAACUUUAAUAAAACGCAUGGUUUGGCGAAAGCAUUUGGAGUAGAUAUUGAGGGCGUCACACAUGGCGAUGAAAGCUUUUUGCUGCACCAUCAGGUACCUGUAAAAGACAUUAAGCUGUCAAAACCAGAAAAAGAUAUGAAGAACAUGCUGUUGGAUAUUCUGGCAUCGUAUGCAAAACAUGGUAAACCAGAAGCGCCUGGGAUAAGUUGGGAGCCAGUGACUCCCGGAAAGUUUAAUUAUUUAUUUAUGUGUGACGCUCACGACUCCAAGAUGGUAGAGAAUCCGGAUGUUGAUGCCCAAGAAUUUUGGGAAAGUUUGGAUAUUAAGGAAUACGGUAACAUUAUUCGAGAUGAACUUUAACAAAGAAAUUUAAUUAAUGAUACGAUCAGAACUUUGCUACUAUUACUAACACCACCUGUUAUAGUAGAUACAUAAAAAUAACCCUGUGUGGCGGUAAUGUAGUUCAACUAUAACACUACUAUGGAGUGUCUUAAGUUGGACACAUAUAGUCAUCCUUAAGGUCCGACUUUCUCGCCGAAAAAAAAAUCUGGGGCCAACAGCUACUAUUUGAAUUUAAAUUUACCACUUGUUACACUUUGUUUAUUUGUUAUGAUGUUUCAAUAAAGCUUCUUAGAUGCA